UGGAAACAAUGAACUGAUGUCAACAAAAAAGUUACUGUCAACAAAAUGUGGCAUCUGACAAUAGGCCUAAUGUUUUCCUGUUGACAGCCUGGGCAAAUACUGAAUAGUCAGCUAUGCUAUUCCAAUUACCGUUGAAAAGUAGAGCUCUAAAUGUUUCUUGUUUUAUUGCUUUGUUUUCUUUCAGAUUCAGUGUGCGAAACUUGUUUUAUGAAACAUCAUGAAGAGCUGCUUCAGGAUAACAACCACGUCGUCUGCUACCACACAUGAAUGAUGGGAUGGUGAACCAUGACAACUGAUCAAAAUAAUGGCAAGAUUUCAAGAGACAUCUCAUCUAUUGGAGGUGUUCAAGGAAACGAAGCCCUCACCGGUGAAAAAGAAAGCGGUCAAGAGUCAAAAGAGGUCCAGCCCCCCCCCCCCCCCUCCCCCCGCCCUGCUUUUCGAAUUUGCAGCACUUGCAGUGGCCUGAAAUUUAGGGGAAAAUGUUCUUGGGUCCACCCUUGGUGUCCCCUAAAAACAAGAUGGUGCCUUCCCCUGCCCUCCAACCCCAACACUGACCAAAUCCUGGCUCAGGCUAGCCGCGGCAUUUGAAGUGGCUGUGUGAGUUGCCUUUUCUUGUGCAAGCCUGGAUGAAAUUCCUUUAUGAUCUUUUCAAGCUUUGGGGUUUAUCCUCACACGUACUUUGCUGCUGGAAUGCCUAUUUCUUUUUAUAAAGUUUUACUCACAGGCUUCUUAAACUUUGACUCUUUCAGUUUACAAUUAAGAGAUUGCAUUGACUAAAAUUCAUUUUCAUGCACUAAAAACAACUAACUGGACACAUUUCAUUAGACUGAGUUUUGUGACUUGAGUCCAGUUGAGUCCUUAUCAGAAAGUUACUCCUGUUGAGUUGAGUCAUUAAGUCAAGAAGGCCGAGUUGAGUCACAGUUUGUGGUCAAGUUGAGCCAAAUUUAUGUUCGAGUCAAUUUGAUUUUCUGAUAUUUCAACACCUUAUAAUAAAUUUAUAAAUAAUUUUUGACUGGAAGAACAUACACAAGACACCCAUUUAUUAUGAAGAUCCAAAGACGUGAUUCCCAUCCACGUCAAUACAAUGUAUGUGCAUUUUUUCUCCUAAGCCCUCGAACACACAAUACAAUGUUUGCUCAGAUAUUUUGUAAAUAAUGUGUUCAUAUAUUAAAGAAGUAUUUAUUUGUCGGCUAU
rnacentral:lncRNA from 1 species